UCGAUGAAGAACGCAGCGAAAUGCGAUAAGUAAUGUGAAUUGCAGAAUUCAGUGAAUCAUCGAAUCUUUGAACGCACAUUGCGCCCCUUGGUAUUCCGGGGGGCAUGCCUGUUCGAGCGUCAUUACAACCCUCAAGCCUGGCUUGGUAUUGGGCUUCGCCACUAACCUGGCGGGCCUUAAAAUCAGUGGCGGUGCCUCCGAGGCCCUGAGCGCAGUAAAUAUCCUCGCUAUAGGGACCCGGUGGUUACUGGCCAGCAACCCAACUUCUAAGUUUGACCUCGGAUCAGGUAGGGAUACCCGCUGAACUUAA
rnacentral:rRNA from 1 species